GGGCAGUAAUGUACUCCGGCUUCAAGCGUUUAGUUUCCUUGGCCUGAACUCUCAGAUUAAAGGCUCCUUGCUCGUGCCCGCCCCACAACGAUGCCUGUGACCUUGACUGCAGUGAUGGGGUAGGUUUCUCCCUCCCUCUUUCCCUCCUCCUUUGCUGGCUUCCUCCUCCCUCCCUCUCUCUCUCUUUCUUGGGGAAAAAAAAAAGGUAUUUUCCUUCUUAAAUAUUCAGUCGAGAGGCUGUUGCUUAAACCCUGCAUGCUCUGGGGACAGGCAGAUUGUGCUUGACUGCCAGCGGGGCACGGGAACACCUGGCUGGCCCAGAACACUCGCUCAGCCACAUGGGGCCAGCGGGUGUGCUGAGCCUGGUGGGCAGUCUGGAUGCUGGACCCCAUGGCUGGGCGUGGGCCCAUGGAAGCCGGGCAGAUGGUCUUCCCCGGGCUACGACUUCUCCCCUUCCCCCUCUGCCCACCCCCUGCCCUUGUCCCGGGGCUGGCUCCCAGGGGCCUGGCCCAGUACCCUCAGUGAAUGGGAGACUCCUAGGGCAGGAGGUUUCAUCUGAUCCUCGGGCCUGGACAUCCGGGGAAGGAUCUAGGGAACACUAGUGGCUGGAUUUGAGGGGCAGAUGGCAGCAGAAGUGGCGCCUGACAGCCGUUCAUUGAUCAAGAGGGUGGCUUCCGGAGCUGUCUCGUUCUGGCCCCCGCAGGAUCCACUUGUCAAUUCAUCCAUCCAGGCUGCCCUCUGUCUUUCCUUUGUCUUACCUUCUCACCCCUCUCUCUGCUGCCCCCGCCCCCCUGUCAUCCGCUCACCAGGCUGCCUUUUUGAGCUGCCUUGUGCUUCUGUACAAGCAGCAGGGGGCAUGUGAAAGCACCAGGUAUCUGGAUUCAAGCUGGUCCCGAGUUCAAACCCGGACUGCAGGACUUACGAGCUGUUUCUGUUCUAUUUAAUAUUUUGAAUUUGGACAAGCUCCUCAAUCUCUCUGAAGCUUCACUCUCUCACCUGUAAAGUAAGAGCAUCCUGAGGGCUCAGGGCGUGAUGUGGCGAGGAGUGGCACUAGGUCUGGCAGCCCUCCCAGGCCCCUCCCCCAGAUGCUUCGGCCUCUCCUACCCAGAUGCCCUCUGUCCCUCUCUCUGUCCCUCUUGGCUAGAAAAAGGGAAGGUGGUCAGGAGGGGUGCCUGGCGAGGCGGGCUCUGGUUCUCCCACUCACAAGCUGCCUGUGUAAGUAUGAAGGGAAGAAUGAGGCCGAGUUGGAGGGACCUUUCAUGAGUUCAUUUUCUGGGCAAAGCCUAGUGUAUGGGCACAGGUCUGAUUUGAAGGAAUCAACUUAAGGGGCUGUGGCUGGACUGCCAGGGGAAGACAGGGGAGGAUGUAGGAGCAGGGGCCUGUGUAGCCUGGGAGGAGAAGCCAUCUGGGCUGGGACUCCCCUCCCAGGUUGCCCAGGGAUGGGCAGAAAGAACCUGUAGCCAUCAGGGAUGAGGAGUGUUGGCAGCUGGAUGAAACCCCAGGUGGAGGAGAAAUUUCUGCACUUUCUGGAGCAGGGGUGGUGGGAUGACCACUGGGGGUGAAGGAGGGGAAGUCCCUCUUAGAUGUUUGACCACAGAGGGAAUCUGGGGCUGAUGUGCUAUGGGAACUUGGGCUGGUCCCGUUUCUUCUCUGGGCCUCAGUUUCCUCCUCCUAUAAAUGAGGUUGAUCAUCCUGUCCUGUGUGCCUCAUGGGAUGGGCAGAAGAUCCAGUUAGAGAAUAUAUGGGCAUGUUCAGUGAUCUAUAAUGUAGUACUAAUGAUAACUAUCAUUCUGGUCAUUACCUUGCUUUCUUUCCACUCUGUGUGACACCCACUUUGAUCCACGCAAUCUAGCCCCGAUUCAUAUGCUGAUAGAAUUAAACAUGGCUGAAAGCAACCUCUCCAUUUAGUGCGAAAUCUCCACCCAACAUACAUGGUCCCCAGACCUCCACUUGCAUGCCCCCAGGGACAGGGAGCUCACUGCUCCUCAUGAUGGGCAAAAGACUGUCUCCCUAGAAUCUUUUUUUCACUGGGCUCAGUUCUGCUCUCUGGGAACAUAAAUGCUAAGUGUCUUUGUCAGAGUCCUGACCAGGCCCUUGAGGCUUCCCCAGGGAACCUGGGUUCCAGGCCCACCUCUUCCUGUCAAGGCCCCAGUGAGCAGAUUUCACAUUAUCAAAGACCUUCUAUAUGGGUACAUAGAUGCCUGGGCAUGGCGUUCUGGAAGUAACUGCACUGUGCACCGUCUCCAGAGCUGAAGCAAUGGGCUCACCCAGCCUCUAUGUCUCCUGGCCACCAGGCUCCAUGGAGUCUACGACUAGAGUCCUUGGCCACUCUCUAUAGUAGUGAUUCUUGGAGCUACUCACAGAGUUUACCCCAGGUUCUGGUAACUCUCUCUUAUAUACUGUUGUCUAUUCCUAGGGCACAUGGAAGGCUUUGAAUAAGAGACCCUGCCUCCCUAAUUGACCCCCGUUAGGCUGGACCUACCUUCAAGGCUCCAUUCUAGUCUCUGCCAGAAAAGUUGUUCCAGGCAGGGCCAAGGACCAGCCCUGCUAGUGCCAGUGAGAAGCCUCCCCAGGAGCCAGUGUGACCUACUUUCCCACACUCCUGGCUGUGGUUAUUUAGCUAACCACUGAGUGACCCAGCCCAUGGCUUUCUGCCUCCUCCGCAAGGAUGUCAUGAGGGCCUUGCUCAUGGCUGGCUGGAAUGCAUUUCAUCCUUUCAAACAGCUAAGAGAGGACAUGCAGUUAUCCCGCGAGAUUCUGUGGAUAACUGAAGUCAAACUUGCCAUUGUCUUUCCUGUGUUCUGUGUAGCACUUCUAGAAUUUCUAUUAGAAUGGAUGUGAAGCCUACUGGUCUGAGCCCAAAUUGGCUCUUUUAGCCACCCCCUCUUUUUUUUUAUUUUUUUAAGUUUAUUUAUUUAUUUUGAGAGAGAGGGAGAGAGAGAGAGAGAGAGAGGCAGAGAGAGGGAGAGACAAAAUCUGAAGCAGGCUCUGUGUUGUCAGCGCAGAGCCCGACAUGGGGCUCGAACUCGCAAACUGUGAGAUCAUGACCUGAGCCGAGAUCAAGAGUUGGAUGCUUAACCGACUGAGCCACCCAGGUGCCCCCAGCCCCCCUUUUAAAACAAAAGGGGAAGGAUGCUAAUAUUUAUAAAUGCCAGUUCUUGACAUAUAUCAUUUCACUGACUCUUCAUCACAGCCUUGUGUGGGAGGAUUGUGGUUGCCUCUCGGAAGAGGAGGGAGCUGAGCCUUGGGAAGAGGCAGAACUUACUCAGGGUCCUGCAGCUAGCAAGAGGCAGAGCUAGGGCUCCAAAGCCUGAUUUUCCCCAGCCUCUGUGCUCACAGGCCCAGCCAGCUGAGGGUCUGCUCUGGGCCAGCCACCCGCCUCUCUUGUCCUGCCCGAACCUGUCUUCUUUCUUGGACAGUCUUAUCAGCCUGGGGGUGGGACCCAAUCUCUGCUCCUCCCACAGACCACACACAGGACCAGGGAACAGAGCAGGGGCUCUGGCAGAAAGAUGCAGAAAGAUGUGAGGCUCAGUAUGGGCGGGGGGGAGGGCAGUUUUCAUGGCCCUUGCUCAUCUGCUGUGUCAGUUUCUAAUGGUUUAAGUUUUACUGGGGGGGUGGUUGUAAAAGCAGGACGUGUGUGUGGUAGAAGAUAGGAGUCAUCCUUGAUUCCUUUCCUUGCCCACUCCCUCACAUCCAGCCAUCUGUGGAGGGGCUCUGCUACAGCACGCACUCCGAAUCUGUUGAGUCCGCCCUCAGCUGGCCCAGGCGCCACGUGACCGGCAGCUGUGACAGCCAGCCCACUGGGUCCUUGCUCUCCUGCCCGCGCCUUUAAACCCAGUCUCCACUCAGCAGCCCCAGGGAACUUUUCACAAUGAAGGAAAAGUCGCAGCCUUUUCAUCACACUGGAGGGGAAGCUGAAAGCCCUUACCUCCUUCCCGAGGGCCCAGCCUCCCUCUGCUUCAUUCCUCACAGUUGCCCACACUCUGCCCACCUCAUGCCAGGCCCCUGGCCUGCCUGCUGCUCCUCAGAAACACCGGGCUCCUGCCCACCUCUGCUCCCCUCCUCCUCCUGUCCAAGGAGAGACGGAUUUCUUAUCCUGUAGGAUAUGAAUAUAUGAAUUCAGGUCUGACGUCUGCACAAAGACCUUCCCCCGACCCACCAGCUGGAGUAACCCCUAGUCCCACCCCAGGACCUCUCUCACACUACUUGGUUUGAUGAUCUUAUUUGGACUUGUUGCUGUUUGCAAUGAACUUGCUCAUUUAUUUGCUUAUCAUCUGUACCCCCAUCCCCUUGAGAGUAUCAGACUUGUCUGUUUUGUACCCCCACUCAAUCCUCAGGACCAGCACUCAUCCCCCCUCCUGUCCUGCCUAUUGUACACCUAGAAUAUAGUAAGUGCUCAGUAAGUAUUUGGAGAAAAAAAUGAAAAAUAACAGAAACAUGGCAAGGAGAAAUAGAUUACACAAUUGUGGAUAUAGGAGCAGUUAAUAAUGUCGUGUGUGUGUGUGUGAGUGUGUGAGUGAGUGUGUGUGUGUGUGGGGGGGGCUUGGAAUCAUCUGCUCUUUUAAUGAGAGGGCUGGGCCUGAGCCUGAAGCACUACAUGCAUGUGCAUACUGGUCACACACACACAGACACACACACACACACACACACACGCAUGUGCACACAUAUGUGUUUCCCUAUUGGGUAGCAGCAUAAUCUCUGGUGAGUUUUUUCACCUUUUAGGCCUCAGUUGCUCCACCUGUGGAAUUGGGCUGCUGGGGCUGGAGGUGGAGGCCUGGAUGCCAUGGCCUCUGGAUGUCAGCCCUUGCCUGUGGAGGGACACCAUGGGCAGUGUGCCCGCUGGCCUGCCGGGCUGUACUGAGCAGGCUGGGAGGUGUUUAGAUAAGUCCGCUCCUCACAGGGCUGCUUCCCGCUGACCUCUGAGGUGAGGAUCUCGUCCAGGCAGGAGGGAGUGGGGGGGGUGGCGGCAGGAAGUGGGCACAGAGGCCUGAAGACGUGAGCUUUGCUGCUAGAAGGUGGAUUGCGUUCACAGUUGAGGUCUCUUGGAUGCACCAGUAGCUUGACCUUGAUGUGUUUUCAUUUUUGUGUGCGUGCUUGCGUUUUAAAAAAUAUUUCAAUACAUUCAUUUUAUUUCUUGAAACUUUUUCUUGCAAUUGCCACAGAAAGAAUUUUUAUGAAAUUUAAAAGGGAAAAAAACCACACACACACACACCUGUAUUUUCACCAACCCAAGACAACAACUGUCCCCUGCCUGCCUCCUUGCCCUUUUCCUGUGACGACAAUACUGGAACCUUGCAGAACAUGUUGGGGGGGGUGGGUAGAAGGGGCUCUUGACCUUAGACAAGUUACUUCAUCUCUCUAUAUAGGCCUUAGUUUCCUCAUCCAAAAAAAGGUAAUGCAUCAUAAUUGUGCCCUCUUAGAGUUCUUAUGCAGAUUACAUGAGUCAACGUUUAUAAAGCACUUAGAAAGUUGCCUGGCACUUAGUAUGUGUUUGUUAAAUAAAAGGAGUAAAUAAAUAGAAAGGAAGGGACACUCAUAAUGCUGCCAUCAUGGCACGAAGAGGCAGCUGUGGAAGUUUGUCCUUGGGGUCAGAAAUCAAGAGCUCAAGCCCUGACUCUGCCCUUAGUCCCCCAUGUAACCAGGAGCACAUAUGGCUUCUUUAAGACUCAGCUCCUCCGUCUGUAAAAUGGGUAUGUAAUCUGCACCCCAUGAUGCUGCUGCACAGGGUGAGGGGUAACGGGUGCACAUGGGCUCAGUGAGCACAGGGCCCCUGCACAGCACUGCAACCCAGCCCCCACCUUCAUCCGUCUUCUCAGUUUUCUUGCUCAAUAUUGUUAUAGCUCCGUGUUGCUACCAGCCUCCGUGUUUAUCAUUUUUAAUGACUGUGUGAUAUUCCAUUGAGCAGAGGUGUCACAACGCACUUUGUCAUCUCUAUUGUGGGAUGUUUAGGCAGCUUCCAGCAUCUUGCUGCUAUAAAUAACCUUUCCGUGAACAUCUCUGUGGCUGGAGCACUUCCCCUCUGAUGGAUGAUUUCCCCAGGCAACUUCAGUGACAUUCGUUGAGGCUGCUUUAUCGGGAGGACUGAGGGGCGGGCAGUGGGACUAGGAGCUGGGGGAACAAGGUUCUGGUUUUUCCUUUGUCUGUCUGCCACUCUCUCACACACUCUCUCUGUAUGACCUUGAGCAAAUCCCUUCCUUUCUCUGGACCUCAGUUUUCUUCAAGUGUUGUGGCCAGGGACUGAGACAGGCUUGGUCCAGAGCUGUGCUGUCCCCUGUGGCAGCCACUAGCCAUCUGUGGCUAUUUUUAUUUAAAUAUAAAUUAAUUAAGGGGCACCUGGGUGGCUCAGUCAGUUAGGCGUCCAGCUCUUGAUUUUGGCUCAGGUCGUGAUCUCACAGUUCAUGAGUUCGGGCCCCAUGACAGGCUCCAUGCUGUCAGCACAGAGCCUGCUUGGAAUUCUCUCUCUCUCCCUCUCCCUCUGUUCCUCCCUGGCUCGCGCGUGCUCGUGCUCUCUCCCCCUUUCUCUCUCUCUCUCAAAAUAAAAAAUAAACUUUAAAUAAAUAAAUAAAUAUUAAUUAAAUAAACUUUAAAAACCAGUUUCUUAGCCACACUGUGCACAACAGAACCCAGUUGUGGCUGCCGGUGGCUACCACAUUGGGCAGCACAGGUAUAGAACAUUCCCAUCAUUGCGGAAAGCUCUGCAGGACUGUGCCAGUCAUCAUGCCUUCUUCUGGAACUAAGAAGAGGGCAAACAGCCCUUAGCUCAGAGGACUCAUUAAGGACCUAACAAGACUUAGUGGCUUUCCACAGGCCAGGGCCUCUGGUAGUGUCCAGAGUCUGAAAUAUCCAUGUCCUGUGUCUUUCUCCAAGAGAGAAGCUGGGCAAGAAUAUGGGCCCAAGAGAGGUGGCCCCAGCAGGGGACAGUGCCCAAGGGAGGCCGGCAUGAAGACAGAGUAGGUGGUCUCCUGAUUUCUCAGCCGGGAGGGCAGCUGGAGGACAGGUGCCGCAGCUCUCUGCGCUGUCCUCUCUGGAUUCUUUUAGAAGUCUGGCCUAGAGAGCAAAGAUUGCUGCCUCACUCAUCUUGCCCUGCGCUGGCUGCCUGGGGCCCUAAGCCCGGUUCUGGGCACUUGCUGGGAGAGGAGCUGUGAGAAGCGAGCCCACGGCACCAGGAAGAAGCUGCUUCCCUCCCCACCACCACUUGACAUACCCGCUCUGGCCACACCUGCCCCCUCCUCUCCCCUUCCACCUUCUGCAGUUGCUUUUCUGCAGCCUGGAGGUAGCACGGGGGCGGGGGAGAGGUACCCAGGGCAGGGGAAUAGAGGAAGUAAGCGGAGAGAAACUUGGCUGGCUUUGGUCUCGCCUUUGCCGAAGCGUGGCUGCCUUCUGCCCUGCCCCUGUGCCCAAUGCUCCUCUGUCCCCAUAUGAACCCUACUGCUCACUCUGGUUUCUCCUGUUUUCCAGGGAUCCCAUGGCCAUGUCCUGGCUGCCUUGAAUCUGUGAGGCCACACAGCCUCCCACCUGCAUCUCCAGGGCUCUGUCCCUGUCCAGCCCCUGGACCAGCUUCCGAGUCUACUCCUCACCCCAGCCUGGGGACGCCUCAAGCUUCAGGACUCAGUGGGGCACAGUAGCAGUCACGGUAGGUGGCGACCCCACUCUGCUCUCUCUUGGCUCCUGGGAAUACUUAGCUGAGCCUUCUUGGUCUCUGGAAUAGGAAGGAUACCUUUCUGAACACCAUAUCUGUCACCAUAUCCCUUUGGUUGACAUCGCAAAAAAACUUAUUUCAAUAAAAUACAAGUAUCAGCUCAUGUAACUGAAGUAUCCAGAGGUGGAUGGGGCUUCUGGCAGGGCUUCAUCCAGCGGUUCAAACAGUGUGGCCAGGACCUGUUUUCUGUCUGCAUUUCUCUGCUCCCUCUUCCUUGGUGGUGGCUCCACCUCUAUGAGCAUUUCACAUGACAUGGUCACAGGAUGUCUGCCAACGGUUUCUGGGGCAGUAUGCUUCCAGGUUUAAAUCUGGGGUCAGGGGUGGAGACAAAAUCUGCUUUCUUGAUAGAACAAAUAAAAGCCCUGGGGUUGAUCUCUUGGGCCCUGUUGGCAGGAUUUGGAUCAUCCUGACCCCUUUGGCUGGGUCCACAGGUCUUGGAAACUUAAAGGGACUGGGGGUCAGGGUCUGUCCUUCCCCAACCAUGUGACCAGGAAUGAGGACAGGGUGUUUCCCCAAAGGAAGCUUGGGGUCCUGCUGGUAGAAGGAGUUGCCCCCAAGUGAGGGAGGCAAAUAACAAAUGAUCGGUGGAGUCUCCCCAGCUUGGACAGCUUAAAGUCAGUCCCAGAUAGAUACAGAUAUGCUGUGGGUCCUUGGGCAGAUCCCUAUGCCUCUCUGAGCCUCAGUUUCCUUACCUGACGACGAACCUCACCUGGCAGGGGUGCUAUGAGAACUACCUGAAACGAUGUGUGGGAAGCACUGGUGUCUAUAGCAGGUGCUCAGUAAAUCCUUUUCUGUGCCCCUUCCCUUUCUCUCCUGGGGAGUUUGGAACAUCCUGUUUCCUUCAAACUUGGAAGGAGCUGCGUAGGAAGUAUUGUCAGGAUCCCUAGAAGCAAAGUCUGAGACAAGGAUUUGUGAACAUGAGGUUCACUGAGGGUGGGCUUUUGGGAAAAGGGAGGAAGAGAAGAAGUUGGGGCAGGUAUGAGAGCCCCAUGAGUGAGGUCGUGGCCUUGGGCUGGUCCAGGGGGCCCUGGUGUAGAGUUGACACCACAGAAUUGUCCCCUAGACAAGGUGGCCAGGCUUUUGUACCCCUGUAUCAAUCAGUCACUGACUGUGGGCCAUGCCUGCGGCGCCUGUGGGUGGCCCCCAUUUGCAGAGGGCAAUUCUCUGGAGAAGGGGGUGCAGUGAGCUGAGGAGGGGCUCUGGGAAGGCACCACUUAAUACAGGAAGGCAGGAUCCGUGUCCCUGGCCUGGCCAGUCCUAGAGGAGCCCUGCUCUGCUGCCUCCUCUGGCUUUUGCUCCUCUGGCCCCAGACAGCAAUGCCAGUCCCUUCCACUCGCCUUUCGAGAAUCUUUUUCCACCCCAGGCCUCCGUGUCCUCCCUGUGCCCCCUGCCUCUUUCCUAAUCGUUCUUCUUUCCUCCCUUCAACUUUAGUCAGUCGUGCAGUUCCCCCACCUACUAUGCCCUUCCUUGCUCUCUACCCCAUCCUCUUUUUCAGGCCUGUGUGGGUCCCUCCCUCUCUGCUCACUGCUCCAGCCAAUGUUUAUCUCCUUUAGUCCUUCCUCCAGCUGCACCCUUCUUACAGAUGGAAAGGCCAAGGCCCAGUGUGUACUUCCUCACGAAUACUUUGUGGGUUCCUACAGCAGUGCCAGAGUGUGUUGCUCUCUUUGCCUUGGCCACUAGGAAGCUCAUAGCUGGUUUGUGGCCCAUUUCUGAGAAGUGCUGAGGAUGCUGGCAUACAUACAGUUGCUCAGUCGCCUUCCCUCUGACUUCUCUCUCAUUUUCUCCUUUUUCUGAUUUCUUUUCUUAUUUUUCAGCUUGUGCUUUCUCGGCAGCCUCAAACUCUUUUAGAAGGUGGUGGGGUAUCAAAAACCAAGAGUGGCCUUGGCUAAAACAUUCAGCCAAAUACUAGGCUUUCCCCUUCCUAAGGGUAGCUGGGGUGGGAGAGUCUCCCCCAGGCCUAGGGCUGAGCCUGUCCCCAAGGAGACACCAAAGCCUGACCACGGUAGCCCCGGCAUAGCACCCACCCUGCCCUCCGUGGGUCGGGAAUGACAUUGUUCUGCUUCCUACCCUUUUCCCUCCCCCCUUUUCAUCUUAUCAGAAGCUAAUGAAAGAGGCUGGGAAACCCAAUCCUCUGGUAAUUAAAUUUACUUAACGGGUAUUCAAGUGGAGUAAUGAGAAGUUUAAUGCAGUGAUUAGAUUUUUCUUUAAUUAAUUAAAAUGAGAACCAUGUGUCUUGCCAGCAAACCAACUUGACCCUCUGCUUGAAGAGUAGCAGCCAGGGAUGGUGGGGGGCUUGGCUGCGUGGCUGGGGGCUGCAGGGUGGAUGCGGGCCCCUGCCCCGGCACCAUAGCUCCUGGAAGUGAGCCUAGCUCUGAUGUCCACCCAGGGCCGUCUCUGACCCCGCUCCCAUUUCUGAGCCCUGCGAGUGCCAGGACCGGGUAGGCCCCGAGUCUCCCAGGGCCAGGGGAUCCAACAGUCCCCACACUCAGGCAGCUGAAAGCGGACCCGGAAUGGAGGUUUCAGAGGGGGGUCGGCAAGCGUGGCUUAAAGCAAAGAGCACAGAGGAGGGAUUUGAGGCACUGCGACAGAUGGAGGCAUUUUGGGAUCACAUUUCAAUGCACGGGCCAGUGGACACCUUCACCUGCGUGUUGUCAGACCUGGGUUUACCUCCGUUGGCUUUAUCAGGGCUGAUGGAGUGAGGGCAGUGGGGUGGAUAAUCGAGAAAUCUGAGAUAACCCACAAAACACUUCUCCUUGACUCGGGAAUGCAGUGAUGCCAGAAGGCUGACCAUCCUUGCUGUGUUUCUGAAGGCCAGUUAGGAAUGCAAGGAAGUACUCCCCCCACACCGGCCCCUGAGCUGCCUCUGCAGGGGUCAGGUGGUGGCUCGGGUAAUGGGAAUAUGAGAAUCCCGGCAUAGCUGUCUGGAAUGGAGCACAGAACGGUCCUCGCCAGGGUAGAGGGUGGGCAUAAUGAGGACUGAGAAGACAGGCUGCAGCUCCCCAGGGGCAGAAUAUGUUGUUUUCAAGCAGUGGGUAAGGCUAGGGGGAGUCCUGAGCCCUUCAUGGUGGAGAGGCAGAGAACUUCCUUUAUUGAGCCUUGACCCUACACCCACAACUGAACCUUGAUCCUGGGCAGACUGAACCUUGAUCCCAGUCCUAGACUGAACCCUGAUCCCAGCCCCACACUUAGCCCAGCAUUGUCACGCACAUGCCAGCUGAGUAACAGGUGCUGGGGUGGGAGGGGUGAGGGGCCCUAUUUGUCCAUCCUCACUGCCAGCUCUCCUGCCUGUGGGCAGGACUCCUGUGCCAGGCCCCUCACUAGUCCCUGGAACGGCCGAGAUGAGUCAGACAUGGUCCCUGCCCACAGGGCCGGUGGGGGAGGCGACAAGCAAACAGGCACUGAGUGAUCAGAGCUGAGGUGGGGGAGGCCCAGAGGGCUGAGGGCCCAGGAUCUGUACUAAGAGCUUCCUCUGAAGGCAGGUGGGAGGGGGAGGUGCUGGAGGCGGGCCAGUGGGGAGGCUGACACUGGUCUGCAAGAGGUGAAGAGGAUGGUGCCAGCGGGGGGCGGCGGGGGUGCUAGGGUGAGCGAUUCUCCCCCCCCCACCUCCCGUAAGAACUGGCUGUGACUCCUCCAGGCCGUCCUCAGCUCUGGAGGAACCAAGGGACUCAUGUGUGGGGAGGGUUGAUGGGGUGCCCGGCACUGGGCUGAUAACGUUACCUUACAAGGAAAGCAUGUUUAUCCAUUGCAUGAGGAGGAAACGAGGUGUGCAGGGACUGGCCUAAUGCUACACGGCUGGCCGGGUGGGGCGGGUUCCCAGUGCUCGCCUGCCUGCGGGCCUGCACACUGCUGUUCUGUGGUCUGCAGGGGAAUGAACUUACCCUGGGGGGCAGGAGUCAGCUUCUGACUCCUCCACUCCCACCUGGGCGAAUACAGCCCCAGCACUGGUGAGGGCUGGGGGUUCGGUGCUUGAGCCCGGGCCAGUCAGACUGGCGUGUGGGGCUUCCUGAUGCGGCUGGAGCAGGAGCAGGGAGUGAGGGAAGAGAGGAGGGUCCUGUCUGGGUAGGGGACUAGCCCCAGGAACGAGGGUCUUCUGCUUUCUUCACCCUCCCACUCCUCCCCUCUGCUAAUCCCUCCCUCUAGAUUCCUCUUCCGGCCCAUUUCCCUUCUUCUUCUUUCCUUUCUGAAAAACCAGGCCUAGAGAAACCACCCAGCCAGCUGCCCACUGCUCCCAUGUGGGGCAGGGACCUGCUCAAGACCGUGGGGCUCUGCCUCUCUUAGGUCUUUAAAGUAGAGUCUGAAAUCACAUUAUCAUGAACGUAAACACAAGGAUUGCAUUUGCAUACUUCUCCUGGCCAUGCGCACACACCAGUUCAUGCUGCACAGGUAGAUGCACCCAGGAAGCCACCCCUCUGUCCCAGGCACCAUGCUGCCCCAGACGUGUUCAUCUCUCCUGCCUGGAUUCUGGGUGCGGUAAAUCACUGCCUCAUUUAAUUCUCUCAACAGCCUGGGAGGUUAUUUAUACAGGUGAGGGAACCAGGCAAGGUCAGGAACUAGGCCCCAGUCACACCACCAAGUGCAAAGGUGAAGCUUGCCUGACAAGCUCAGAUCCUAGGCCAAGCCACCCCUCCAGAUUACCCCCACCUCGCCUCUGGGCAGUUCCCCCUCCCUCUUUCUCUCCCCAAACCUCCCCCCAAACCCCUCCGCAUCCACUGCCCCUUCGCUCCUUGCUGCAUCCUCCAGCCAGAUCCAAGGACUCUUUCCCAGGGCUCCCCACACGUUCCCACCUCCAGGCCCUUGUCCAAGCUGUUCCAGGCCCCUGAAUUCCCCUCCCCAACUCCAUCUGCUCCGGCCCCCUUCGUCUUACUAGGCUGGGCCCAAAUGAUGCCACUUCUUUCAUGGAGACACCCUGUCUGCUCUCACUCUGAUCAGAAGUCACCCCCCACCCCUGCCCAGCACCAUCCUCCAGCUCUUUCCUACCCACCCCCCCCCCCCCCCAUCUUAGGCUCUUGGCUUUCCUGUGUCUGACCUUGCAUCUGUGUGAAAGGCAGGGCCCUGGCUUCCCAGGCCAGUUACCCCCAGAGCCUGGCGCACAGAAGCUGCACAGGAGGUAGCGGGGUCCUUGUCUGGGGAGGGGCUGCACCUCUACAAACUCAUCCCUUUCCUCGGCAGUUCUGGCUCAGACGGCCUCUCACAGCAGUGGCCCCAGCCCCCUGAGGAGACCAGCCCCGUGGCCCGCCAGAUGCUCACUGUAGCCCUGGCUGGUGAGGACGGGGGGCAGGCUUCUGGCCCCAGCAGACCUCCCUGUGCCCAAGUCCUGGAGGGCAAGAACAAGGCAAACCCACCUUUGGGGUUCACAGGAAAGUCUUGGGGCCACCAGGUACAGGUACCAGGGUAGUCCAGUGCUGGUGGAUGGCUGCAUGGGCACUCUGCCUGGCUGUACUCACUGGCUCUGCUGAUGACUGGCUGUGUGACUUAGAACAAGUCAUGUAGUCUUCCCGUGCCUCAGUUUCCUCAUCUGUUAAAUGAGGUGAUGACAAACCUACCUAGCGUUGCUCUAAGGAUUAAGCGAGUCAAUACAGUGUAAAGCACAUAGCACAGCCCUAACACAGACACACUACGUGUGCGUCCUGGCAGUUGACUGUCACCAUCACUAUGGGAGGGAGCCUGGAGGCUGCGUAGGGCCCAGCAUUCAGGGAGAGUUUCCAGUAGGUGGUGACACAUGAGCACCAACUUGAAAGAUGAGGCUCAGGGGCAGUGAAGGACAUACCCAGACGAGGGAACCACACAGAUGAAGACCCAGAGGCAGUUUGGGGGACAUACGAGGGAUCUGGCUGUGUCUAGACUUAAGGUCGGAAUAGACCAGGAGGCGAUCCCAGCUGGUGGUACACAAAGGCUGUGUCCUGAGGGACCCUGGGUCCACACUGAGGGGUUUAGUCCUACUGCCUGUGAAGGGCCAUGAAAGGGGGUACUUUUUCCCCUUUCUUUCUUUUUUAAUAUUUGCUCAUGCAAAAACAUUGAAACAGUACAGAAGUGUGUCCUGUUAAGUAUGGAAGUUCCCUCUUUGCCCUUAAAUCUUAUUCUGUCAAGGUCUGGUGUACCUCCUUCCAGAACUUUUUCUGUGCCUUACAAAUUUAUUUAUUGUAUAUUACUUUUUUUUUAAAGAUUUUAUUUUUAAGUUAUCCCUGCACCCAAUGUGGGGCUCACACUCAAUGCCAAGAUCAAAAGUUGCACACUCCACCGACUGAGCCAGCCAGGUGCCUCCGUAUAUUACUUUUAAAAAAAUGGAAUAGUAUUAUGCACAUUAUUCCAUAACUUCCAUUUUUCACUUCCCAGUGUGUUGUGGGCAUCUGUCAGUGUCCCAGCAUACGGGUGUGUGGUAUUUUUAAUGGUUGCCUAAUAUUCCCUUGUUUGGACAUAGUGUAAUUUAUGUAACUAUUCCUGGGUUGAUGGAUCUUUAGGUUGUCUUCAGUUUUUCACUCUUGCAAAUAAUGCUUCAGUGACCAUCCUUGCGUAUCUGUCUUGCUGACAUGUGUAAGCAUUUGUGUGGGAUUGAUUUCUAGGCAUGGAAUUGCCCGGGUGAAGGGUAUGUUUAUUAAAUUUUGCUGGGUAGUGCCACAGUGCUCUUCCAAAGGGCCAGGCCAGGUUAUGCUCCCGCUCUCAGUAUCUGUGGGUGGCCAUUUCCCCAUGCCGUCCUCUGCACUGAACAUUAUCAAGCUUUUUAAUUUUUGCUAAUCCAGGAAAUCGUCUUGCUGUGGUUUCAGCACUCACUUGCCUUCUCCCCAGCGAGGCUGAGCAUCUUUUCAUGCAGUUAUGGACCAUUGUGUUUCCUCCUCUGUGAAUUGACUGUUCAUAUCCUUUGCUCAUUUUUCUUUCUUUUUUUCCUUUUCCUUUUUCUUAUUGAUAUAAAGGAGCUUUUAGAUUAUUAGGAAUUUUAAAACUUCUUGUCUGUUGUGCGUGUUGAAAAUAUUUUCCCUAGUCUGCUGUUUGUCUUUUUAACUUUGUUUAUGGUCUCUUUGGCCAUAUAGAAGCUUUAGAUCUUUAUUUAGUCAGAUCUGUCAGACUUUUCCUCAGGGCUUGUGAGUUUCACAUCCUGCUUGGCCAGCCUUCCUGGAAGGGUUUUAAGUGGAGGUCAGAUGGGUGACUGGGUAAGGUCACUCGGAUUGCCACUGUGAGGAGCACGGGUGGAGGGGGGACAGCAAGAGGAUAGGAAGCAGCUGAGACCUUUGUGCUGGGGUGGGGGUAGGGGAAAACGGGAAGAAGGUGAGUUUGGGAAAUAUUCUGGGAUCGACUGCCCAUGAUGAUAGGAUGCGAGGAUGAGAGAGGGAGAGAAAAAGGACUUUGGGGUGAUGCCCGGGUGUAUGGCUAAAUCGGGGACAGGAUUAGGGAGGGAAAUGCCUGCAGGUGCACACGAGUACUCACCUUGGCAGGAGCACGGCACAUAUGAAUACACAUACGCACACGCAUGUACGUGCUUCAAGUUCUGGAGAUUGGUGUCUAGACUGUGGCUCCAUGGAGGGGGUAUAGUGUGGGCUCUACUCUGUGGAUUAUCUGUUCUCUGCCAGGUACUGUAGGCAGCAUCACACACGCGCACUCUAAUCUGAACUACCAUAUGAAGUAUAUUUUACAGAUGAAGAACCAGACCCAGAGAGGUUAAGUAACUUGCUCAAGGCCACAGAGCUAGUAAGUAACAGAAAGGGGAUUUUUCUCAACAACUUAGAUCUGACCACCCACGCAGAAUACCCACCAACAUCAUUGAGGAGCCUUUCAUUCAUUUCUAACCUGACCAACCUAGUUUUAUCGGGACUCUUAGGAUGAGUGCUGGAACCAGACCGCAUGGGUGGGAAAUGCAGCCCCAUUCCUUACAAGCCAAGUUACUUUGCCUCUCCGUGCCUCGGCUUCCCCAUUCUGAAAAUGUAGAUGAUCACAGUACUCACCUUGUGGGGUGUUGGUGGAGAUUAAAUGUGUUAGCACCUAUGAAGUGCUGAGCCCCCUCGGGGCUCAUUGGAUGCUCUCCACAAUGACUCCGAUGAUGAUGAUAGCAAGGUGUUCACCUCACCUGCAUCUGUCCCUCUUUUCAAUCUUCUUCCUCCUCCAUUUUCCCUCCACCUGUCACCUCUCUCCUAUGCCAGCUCUUCCCCGUGGGAACUUCUUUCAACAUUUGCCUUUGAACCUCUGUCCUCUGUUUUCAGCCCCCGAGCCCUCCACAGACAGUGAAUUAAAGUCCAGUCAUUCAGCAAAAACCAUUCAGAGGAGAACGAUUCAUUCUGCACUCAGGGAAUCCUCCCCCAAGCAGUUCUAGUCAGGCAUUUUCUGCAAGCCCAUGCAUUCAUCCCAACAUUAUCCGGUCUCUGAGAACCAGACCAUAACAUCCAGAUCUAAAACUCCUUCCUCCCUGAGUAUAGACGCUCAGGUGCACUUUCGAGGUGGGGGGUCUGAGCUGACCCCAGUCCAGCCAACUCUCCACUCUAGCCAUGAGCCAUCACUGGAUCCCUGACCCCAGGAUGAGUCAUUCUCAGAAUCGUUGGCCAGAAAACUUGCCCAUAGGAAACAAAAGCAGAGAGCACAGCAAAUUUUGAGCACAUUUUCUUCCCACGAGCAUAUCUAAGCACAUCCUGUGGCUGUGAGGGGUGGGUGCAAGGUGUUCAAACCAGGGUAAAACCUCAGGUCUGCACCCAAUUAAAAAUUUAUCACUGAAAUCACCAAACUCACCAUUAAGGAUUUCUCAUCAUUGAAAUAAGCUCCCAGGUAAAGAAAUCCUUGUGGUUAAGAAUGGAGCAGUUAUUGCCUGUUUCUUGUAGGAUUUUGUUUUCAUUUGCAUAGUAUCAGUCACAUCUGUUUAUUUUUGACCCAACGGAUGGCAGAACUCACUCCAGUCCUUCCCAGGGGACUGUUACACCUGACUACAGACCCGCCCCCCCACCCCCACCCCAAGGCCCUGGCAGAAGAUUCUUUAUGACUGCUUUGGGGAAGCCUGGUCACCAUGUCCCCAGGGUCCCACCAAGCCUGUCCCCAGGUUCCACCAAGCCUGGCUUUGUCCCAAGGGCUUCUUCAACACCUUCCCCCAUCUCCAACCCAAGCCCCCUUCCCCAGCAUACCAUAGUACCUCUAUAGGGUGCUGUGCCGUGCUGUGAUUUCCAACUAGCCUGGCCAAAGUUCAAAGCCAGAUGAGCCUUUGGAUGCACACUGACACCAGCAUCGGUGCUCACACUUAAGAACCUUCUCAAGUUUGCCCUUAUGAUAGAAGGGUCUUUCUAAUGGCGUCAAGGAAGCCAUGUUGUACCCUUUUUGUUUUUCAGGAGGGGUGGAGGGAAGGGAGUAUAUUCUACUACAGCCAGAUCUUACUUCUUGGAAAAAUUGAGGAAGUUACAGGGGCAUUUGUGGACAUUAGGGGAUUUCCCCUCAGGUCGCUUGACAGAGCCUGUUAUCUUGAGGGACUGUCUCUUCUCCCUAUUCCCUGCAUGGUCCCACAGAAGCACACAACAUUUCAGGUGAUAAUUGCCAAAGUAAAGUGCCGAUAAGUUCAAAAUAUAAGUGUAUAAUUAAGCUUGAAGCUUGCUGUCAUUCGUGGUUCCAGGGCCACGAGUCAGAGUCCCCCACCCCCAGUUGUCAAUCCAGGGCAGACUCAUAGGGGGCCCCAGGGCCUUUCUAGAGCUGAUCCUAGACCAGAGUCAGGGGCAGAGCUCUGAGGAUGCCCCAGCCUUUGUUCUAAAGUGCGUUUCAAGCCCUUGAAUGUAAGCCAAGGCCCCACUGUCAUGGAGAUGCUACCGCUUGCCUCUGCUCACACGUCCCUUCUCCAGAUGGGAAUUGCCCUGAUGGUGGAUCCUGCUAUAGGCCCUGAAACUUCCCCCUUUUCCUUGUGGAUAGAGAACCCUUCAAACUGGGGGUUGACAUAUUUCUGCCCCCCACUGAAAUCCUAGUUAUUUAGGGGCUCCCAAAUGGAGCUUAGUUCUCUCACUCAGAAAGUCAUCAAGCAUCCCCUCAAACCAAAUACAGGUCAUGUGCCCCAAGUGGCCAGGGGUGAUAUGGUAGGAAAGACAAGAUUGUGCUAAACCAACAGGUUUUUUAGGAACUCUUGGUGAUUUAGUGCAACAAAGCCUCCCUUAUUCUUUCUUCCUUUAUUUACAGUAUAUCCUUUGUUUCCAUUAUACAUCCAGUGUGGGAAGUGGGGAGGGUGGCAGACUCUGGUCCAUAGUCAUGUAUGGGCCCAGGCUGAUAGAAGCUCCACCAUCUUGUAGCUGUCCUACCUGGAACACAUGGUCUCUUCUAGUCACUGUGGCAAAGAAGAGAAAGUGGUAGAGUCUUAAAUGCUUUGGCCCAGCAAUGACACACACCACUUUUGUUCCUAGCCCACCGACCAAAACUUCUCAUAUAGCCUCAACUCACUGCAAGGGGGCGCUGAGAAAGUGUAGGGGACACUAUGCUGGGAUGGAGGAAAUGCACCCAGACGUUAGUGAGCAGUAAAAUCCUCUGUACAAGGGAUAUUGUGGGACCACUAAGAGCAAGGGUUUCAGAAGACCCAAGGCCAUGACUUUGGCUCAUUCUUUCCACUUGGGGUGGCCGAGGCCAGGGAAACCCAGAGUGUCUGGCAGGGCCUGAUGAGAAAAGCUUUGGGAUACUGAGCAACCAGAACUCUCAUAUGUUGCUGGUGAGACUGCAAUAUGGGGCACAGCCACUUCAGAAAACAGUUUGGCAAAAAAAAAAAAAAAAAAGAAAGAAAGAGAGAAAGAAAGAGAAAAGAGAAGACAAACCGUUUGGCAGUUUCCUAUAAAGUUAAAAAUAUGUUUAUCAUAUAACCCAGCAAUCCUAAUGCUAGGGAUUUACCCAAGAGAAGUAACAACUUAUGUUCACAUAAAAACCUGUAUGUGAAUAUUUAUAGUGGCUUUAUUCAUAGUCACCAAAAGCUGGAAACAGCCCAAAUGUCCUUCAGCUAGUGAAUGGGUAAACAAUUGAAUACUAUUCAGCAAUAAAAAAGAAUGAAAUUUGGAACAACAGAGAAACAACAAAGGUAAAUCUCCAAUGCAUUAUAUGCUAAAUGAAUAAAGCCAGGCUCCAAAGGAUACAUACAGAUAAAGCCAUUUGUAUGCCAUUCUGGAAAAGGCAAAACUAUAAAGACAGAAAAUAGAUCAGUGGUUGUUAGGGGCUGGGGUUGGGGAGGAGUUGGCUACAAAAGGACAGCACGUGGAGACUUUUCGGGUGGUAGAAUUGUUCUAGACCUUGAAUGUGGUAGUGGUAACAUGGCUGCAUGCAGCUGUCAGAACUCACAGAACUGCACUGGAAAGUGUAGAUUUUACUCUAGGUAAAUUGUAGCUCAAUUAACCUGCCUGGAAAAAAAAUGCUCGCUGUGAGGUUGUUGAGACAGGGAAACUGGAGUGACAUCAGUCAGAGUAGUGUGACUCGGGUUAGGAGGGCCGCCCUCAUACAGAGGUCAGGGAGGGCUUUCUGAGGAGGUGUCUGGAACUGAACCUGGACACUUGGAUGAGGAGAAGGAGCCAGGCCUGCGAGGAUCAGGAGGAGGUGGGGGCCAGGCAGAGAGAGGCUGGUGCUGUGCCAGGGAGGAGGCGAGGGCAGGAGCUUCCAUUCUCUCUGGGCAUGAUGGCACCACUGGGGGGCAUAUAUAGAGGGUGACCGAAACUCUGAUGUGGGUCAGGCAGCCCAGGGAGCAGGGCAGGGUGAGGGGGGCAGGCAGGAAACAGCAGCUUGUGACCACGUGCAGGAGGAGGGCCAUGUGAUGGAGGGGUGCCCUGACAAGGAGGAGAGGGGUCAGGGAGCCUCCUGCGGGGAGGAGUGGUCAGCCAGCCAGAGACUUGCAGGCUGGGACAGGGGACUGGCACGGAGGGCCCGGGGGUAGGGGGCCUUUGGGACCUUGCUAAGGGUGCUGUGGGUGCUGGUGAGGCAGAGGCCAGACAUCCUGGGUUGACUAGCAGAAGCCCAUCAUAGUUGCACUAACCUUCCUGCUCUCCCAUUGCAGUGCAUGCUGGGACCGCGACCAAUAGGCUGCUGCUCCCCGGGCCCCCAGAGGCUGAUCUGUUUGCCUCCCG
rnacentral:lncRNA from 1 species